AGAGAACUACUGCAAGGAUGAGGAAGAGUAAGUAAGUGCUUAGAGGAGCUGCCUAUGAGAAACAUUGAGGAGGCACAGAGUUUGUGGUGAUUGGGAGUGGAUGUUAGCUGAACCUCAUCCCCAGUGGGUACAGCUGUGAAAGCAGUCUUCUAGAUUUCUGGGGAGACAAGUAACUGGAUUUGAGAUCACUCAGCCCCAUUGCUGUGCUUGCAGGUUACAAUCAGGUUAAAAGACCAGCUAAAUGCAACAUAGAGGACCUGAGCUCAAAGCUCUCCAGUCCGAGGGAAUCAGAACCUGCAGCAGUCAGUUACAGCUGAGCCACUUGCAGGAGAAGAAUUAGAACUUGGAAGGAAGGAAGAGCAAUAUUUAAUCAGCCCUGCUGAAGUAAUUUCUUAUUUCUGGACUUUGGAAACAGGAGCUCAGCUUUUCCAGUAUCUUCAGAUCAUCUGGGUCUGCCAGAGACUGGCAAAUCCCAGUAAGCAAGAGGCCAGAAUUAAUGAAGCUAAAACUGUUUUCAGUGUGAUUUUAUAUUCAACUCAGCAUCAGCUUCCUUUGUUUUGGCAAGAAUCAGUGUGUGUGUGCCUGUGUGUUUGUGUACACUUAUGUGUGUUUACCUUGUGGUGGUUUCACUGGUGAUGGGAUUGCAAAUGUGCUUGUUCAUUCCUCAUGGUUGCACUGUACAAGUCAAAUAUAAUUGAUUUAGAAGGAAAGAGACUUGCCAAGAACAGUAGUAAUGGCUUAGUGCUAAGUAAAUUUAAUGGAAUAUGCUUUGGCCAACAGCUGCAUCUUUGAGAAGGAGUGAUUCACCUUCUCCCAGAAAUAGUCAUGAGAAGCUAAGUAAGUGGCUGAGAAGCUGGUUUAUGCACACAGAGAUUCAAAGGCCUGCAGUGCUAGCUAAUAGAAUCCAACAGCUAUCAGCUAUCAGAAAUCGUGGCCAGCUGAGCUGGUGAGUCCCAGGAGGGUGAAGGAAAAAGGGGGAGAGACAAAAAUUCCUAAGGGCAGUUUUCUGUGAAGAUUGGAUAUACACUUUUAUUUUUUAUUAUUCUGGGAAAGAUAAAAUGAAAUGAAAGUGACAGAGACUGCCAGUUUUAGGUAUUAAAAUAUUUAAAGAAAGAGUUAUUAAUAUAUUAGUCCAGAAAAUAUUAUUUCAUCUAGCAGAGAUUAAUACAUCUCACAGAUUCUAAGGCCAGAAAAGGCCAUUAGGAUCACCUAGAUUAGGUUUAAUAUAAUUCAGGUUCAGUAAUAAAUGCAGUGACCUGGUCUGCCAGGCAGGCAGCAAGAGUAAGGUCAUUCCUAAAGUAUCUAAGAAAAAGCAGAGACAGCCACAGCUCUGCCAGCUAAUUCUGCAAGAGAAGUGAGCAGUUUGCUUGGACACGCUGUUGUUUUAUGGCCAGACUUGCAGCAGGGUCAGCUCUGCAGGGCUGUCCCCACCGGCUGUGAGAGGACUAGAGGGGUCACCUUCCCUGCCAUGGACCCACAGUGUUAAAAACGGGACCAUACUCCCGGUACUGAAGUGAUUUCAGCAUUUAUUUUAAUAAAAAGAAAGGCCUAAAGC